rnacentral:rRNA from 1 species
GUUGCUUUGGCGAGCUGCCUUCGGGCCUUGUAUGCUCGCCAGAGAAUACCAAAACUCUUUUUAUUAAUGUCGUCUGAGUACUAUAUAAUAGUU